rnacentral:rRNA from 1 species
ACUCAAAGGAAUUGACGGGGGCCCGCACAAGCAGCGGAGCGUGUGGUUUAAUUCGAGGCUACACGAAGAACCUUACCUGGGGUUGACAUGAGGCUAGUAGGGAAGGGAAACCGGACCGACCCGCAAGGGCGGCCUCACAGGUGCUGCAUGGCUGUCGUCAGCUCGUGCCGUGAGGUGUUAGGUUAAGUCCUGUAACGAGCGCAACCCUCGGGUCUAGUUACAGGUAGUCUAGACCGACUGCCCGUGACAAGCGGGAGGAAGGUGGGGAUGACGUCAAGUCAGCAUGGCCUUUAUCUCCAGGGCUACACACACGCUACAAUGGCCGGUACAAUGGGUCGCCAAGCCGCAAGGCGGAGCCAAUCCAGGCAAAGCCGGUCGUAGUUCGGAUUGGGGGCUGCAACCCGCCCCCAUGAAGUCGGAGUUGCUAGUAACCGCGCAUCAGCUAUGGCGCGGUGAAUACGUUCCCGGGCCUUGUACACACCGCCCGU